CAAACUCAGUGACCUUCCUUGUUACUCAGCUAUAAAAACUUCCCAUCAGGCUGUCAGUGGAGUUCACAGCACGUCACUUUCAACAUAAACCAUGUUUUCUGUAGCUCUGCUGCUGCUGUUGGCAUCUGGAUGUGUGAAGUGUGAACAGUUGACACAGCCAGCCUCUGUGACUGUGCAGCCAGGUCAACGUCUGACCAUCACCUGUCAGGUCUCUUAUUCUGUUGGCAGCUACUUCACAGCUUGGAUCAGACAGCCUGCAGGGAAAGGACUGGAGUGGAUUGGAAUGAAAUAUACAGGAGGCUCUUACUUCAAGGAUUCACUAAAAAACAAGUUCAGUAUCGACUUAGACUCUUCCAGCAACAGAGUGACUCUAAACGGACAGAAUGUGCAGCCUGAAGACACUGCUGUGUAUUACUGUGCCAGACAGACACAGUGAGAGACAGCAACAGGAG